GCUCAUUGUCUGAUUUAGCCUGUGGUACCACACACCAUGGCAACACAAAUGCUGAGGGACCACCAAAGUUAAAUGAGAAGCCUCGUGCACAAGUGGCAUUGGAGAAAAAAGAUGAAACAACUAUGAAAUGGAAGAUAACUUCAGCAGUUACUGGAGCUGAAUGCCAGCAACAAUGCAAAGCUGUCGUAGAAGAAGGAUGAAGGCAUGGAUGUGCUGCGGGAGAGACUGGCUCACUUCCAGCGGCGGCAAUCAGCCUCACCAGAGCAGCCAGCCCAGCCGCGCCUGCCGGCUGCCCUGUGCUGGCAGCCCCUCAGCAAGAACACACACGAGUGCUCUCCGGCUCCCCAGACCUGCACCCGCCGGCCGAGGCCCUCCCCAGCUCCGUGCACCCCCCACCGCUGGUCCUGCCACGCUCCCCGCGGACGGGGCUGCGGCAGGAUCUCGCCCAGGCACGGCCGGCGGCCCCGCUGCCUGGUCCGUCGGUCACCGCUCCCUCCUUCGGGCUGUUCCCCGCUCACGCGACCCCUGCCCGCCACAGGAACCAGCUGUCCCUUCGAUGCGGGAACGGGGGGAGAAACGAAGCGGCAUCUGCAUCCUUACAUCCACAUCUGCACCCUGCACCCGCACUCCGCAGCCGCAGCCCGGACGCGCCUUGGCACCGGCCGGGACGGGGCGGCACCGGUGGCCCGGAGCUGCAGCAGGAGGGGAGAGUAGAGUAGGGUGGGGCGGGACGGGACGGGACGGGACGGGACGGGACGGGACCGGCCACCCCGCGCUCCCGACGCCGGGCAGCGCCGGAGGCACCGCGGGAGAAGGGGCGGGGGCUGCUCUGCGGGGCGGGGCCUGUCGCGGGGCUGGGACGAUAAAACCGAGGGUAAUUGCAUUUAGGCAAAUGAGGCUGCCUCGGCCCUCCCCGUCUCCAGGUAUAUAAAGUGGGGACCGCUCCCGCGGACGGCUAAUGCGCACGGAGAGCAGCGCCCGCCCUCCCCGGUACAGACGGACGUCGAGGUGGCGAUGAGACUCCCGCUGGCUUUCGCCGUGCUCCUCCUGGCCUCGGCGCGGGCUCUGGCAGAGGAGAUGGGCGCCUCCGACGACCUCAGCUACUGGUCCGACUGGUCCGACGGCGACCAGGCGAAGGAGGAGCUGCCGCUGCCCCUGGAGCACUUCCUGCAGAGGAUGGCCCGGAGACCCCGGCCCCAGCAGUUCUUCGGCCUCAUGGGCAAGCGGGAUGCUGGAUAUGGCCAGAUCUCUCAUAAAAGAUCCUCUGAAAGGAGCAUAGCACAGAAUUACGAACGGAGGCGUAAAUGAGACAUCCCUGUACAUUAUUUAUUAAACAUCAUUUGUUCUAAUGGCCAAUGCAGUGUAAUAUAAACUAACCACUGUACGGAAUAAUUAUUUAUUUAAUAAUAACUGAUGGGUUGGUUUUUGUUCUGUUUUUUUUCAGUUGUACAUUCAAUAAAAUGAUUAUUUUUCA
rnacentral:lncRNA from 1 species